rnacentral:rRNA from 1 species
UACGGAGGGAGCGAGCGUUGUCCGAAGUUACUGGGCGUAAAGCGCGCGUAGGCGGGAAAUUAAGUGAGAAGUGAAAGGCUGGGGCUCAACCCCAUGCAGUGCUCCUCAUACUGGUUUUCUUGAGGGUGGUAGAGAGAAGUGGAAUGGCUGGUGUAGCGGUGAAAUGCGUAGAUAUCAGUCGGAACACCAGUGGCGAAGGCGGCUUCUUGGGCCAUUACUGACGGCUGAGGCGACGGAAAGCCAGGGGAGCGAACGGG